UCGAGGGGCAGCAUAUAGAUUGCUUGCAAUUUAUGAUGGCGACCGGCGCACGGGUGAGUAACGCGUAUCCAACCUACCCAUUACUAGGGAAUAACCCAGCGAAAGUUGGCCUAAUGCCCUAUGUAGUCGUUUGAUCGCCUGAGAUUUCGACGAAAGAUUUAUCGGUAUUGGAUGGGGAUGCGUCUGAUUAGCUUGUUGGCGGGGUAAAGGCCCACCAAGGCAACGAUCAGUAGGGGUUCUGAGAGGAAGGUCCCCCACAUUGGAACUGAGACACGGUCCAAACUCCUACGGGAGGCAGCAGUGAGGAAUAUUGGUCAAUGGGCGAGAGCCUGAACCAGCCAAGUAGCGUGCAGGAUGACGGCCCUAUGGGUUGUAAACUGCUUUUAUAUGGGAAUAAAGUGAGGGACGUGUCCCUUAUUGCAUGUACCAUACGAAUAAGGACCGGCUAAUUCCGUGCCAGCAGCCGCGGUAAUACGGAAGGUCCAGGCGUUAUCCGGAUUUAUUGGGUUUAAAGGGAGCGUAGGCUGUUUGUUAAGCGUGUUGUGAAAUGUAGGAGCUCAACUUUUAGAUUGCAGCGCGAACUGGCAGACUUGAGUGCGCACAACGUAGGCGGAAUUCAUGGUGUAGCGGUGAAAUGCUUAGAUAUCAUGACGAACUCCGAUUGCGAAGGCAGCUUACGGGAGCGCAACUGACGCU
rnacentral:rRNA from 1 species